AACCUGCGGAGGGAUCAUUACAGAGUUUUUAACUCCUAAAACCAUGUGAACUUACCACUGUUGCCUCGGUGGAAGGUACCCGAAAGGGUGCUGGAAGCCGGCGGACAUCUAAACUCUUGUUAAUUUUUGUUAUUCUGAAUCAAACUAAGAAAUAAGUUAAAACUUUCAACAACGGAUCUCUUGGUUCUGGCAUCGAUGAAGAACGCAGCGAAAUGCGAUAAGUAAUGUGAAUUGCAGAAUUCAGUGAAUCAUCGAAUCUUUGAACGCACAUUGCGCCCAUUAGUAUUCUAGUGGGCAUGCCUGUUCGAGCGUCAUUUCAACCCUUAAGCCUAGCUUAGUGUUGGGAGACUGCCUAAUACGCAGCUCCUCAAAACCAGUGGCAGAGUUUUUACGUACUCUGAGCGCAGUAAUUCUAUUCUCGCUUUUGAACACGUCUAGACGAUAGCCAAAAACCGCUUGCCUCGGCAGCACUUUUUAAUGGUUGACCUCGGAUCAGGUAGGAAUACCCGCUGAACUUAAGCAUAUCAAUAAGCGGGAGGAA
rnacentral:rRNA from 1 species